rnacentral:lncRNA from 1 species
CAAUUAUUUACCAUUUGAAAUCAAUGAAAACCCUAUUAUUAGGUUUAACAUACUAGUAGCUAUUUAAGUAAAUCUAUUUUUUUUCUCAAUAUCCCUCCACACAAAACAUUAAUAGUUUCUUAUCAUUCAGCAUUGUGUGAUCGUAUAGUCCACUUUUUGGUCAUUCAGCACAGAACAUUGACAUUAUUGUGGUUUCAAUAUCUUUGACCGAGUGAUGAAAAUAAUAACUGAUCCAUCUUUUGUCUUUGAAUUUAUUCUGAUCUUGUUUCUAUGCUUUCUCCAUUUAUUCUAGGUGAUGAAUUUCAAUCCUUCCGAAAAAGAAACAAUAAAAUCUGAAGUUAUGUAUUAUACAAAAUUGUUUGCAUACAUGUAGCAUAAUAUGAUUUUCGAUAAAAAUAGCUAUGAGGUAUGGAUUUUACUGAUUGUUAAAGGUUGUCCAGUGUCAUCAGUUGCUAACCUUCUACAUCCUUUGGUCUCUGAUGGAGAGUUGUCAAAAAAGCAAUAUACCAC